CAAUAUUAUAGAGGUUCAGAUUUGACUUCCACUGCCGCUACCACUACCUCCAACUGGCUUAGUACGCAUCUGAUUGGUUAUAAUUGAAUAUAUUAAACAUAUCUGAUUGGUUGAUUGUCCCUUAAUGGUAGCGGUAGUGGAAGUUAAAUCUGAACCCCUAUAAUAUUG